AAUACUGGACAGGACAGGGGUAGGUGAGCAAUGUAAAUUAGUAUAAGCCAAUAGGGAUUAGUAUGGCAGAAUAAACAUAACUUCCAUAUGAUUUUGGUACACCAUUGCUGAGUAUAUAUCCAAAAGAAUGUAAGCCAGCACACACUAGAGACGCCCACAUUUUAUAGCAGCACUAGUCACAAAAGCCAAACUACAAAGUCAUGAAUUAAGAAAUGGAGUAUUAUGUAACCCUAAAGAAUUAAAUUACGUUGUUUGCAGGAAAAAUAACUGGAACUAGAGAACAUGUUGAAGGAAAAUAUUAUGUGUUUUCUCAUAUUCUCUCAUAUGUGGAAUCUAGACUUAAAAAAUGACACCAAUGUAAAAUGGAGACUGGGAGUUGGAACAGCAGGAGUGAGGAGGAUAAACAGAGAGGGUGAGGAGGACGUGAAGAUCAUGGAAGCAUUUUAUUCAUUCUCUUAUGUAUGAAAAUAGAAUGAGGGCUGGGAAUAUGGCCUAGCGGCAAGAGUGCUUGCCUCAUAUACACAAAGCCCUGGGUUCGAUUCCUCAGCACCACAUAUAUAGAAAA